GAAAGAGGGGGACCUGCUUGCAGGCCUCUCGCGAGCGGAGCGGCCGAUGACUGAUUAGCCAGUUGGUGAGGUAACGGCUCACCAAAGCAACGAUCAGUAGCUGGUCUGAGAGGACGACCAGCCACACUGGGACUGAGACACGGCCCAGACUCCUACGGGAGGCAGCAGUGGGGAAUUUUGGACAAUGGGCGCAAGCCUGAUCCAGCUAUUCCGCGUGUGGGAUGACGGCCCUCGGGUUGUAAACCACUUUAGUAGAGAACGAAAAGGAGCUAUCGAAUAAAUAGCUCUGCUGACGGUACUCUAAGAAUAAGCACCGGCUAACUACGUGCCAGCAGCCGCGGUAAUACGUAGGGUGCGAGCGUUAAUCGGAAUUACUGGGCGUAAAGGGUGUGCAGGCGGCUGAGUAAGACAGAUGUGAAAUCCCCGGGCUUAACCUGGGAACCGCAUAUGUGACUGCUUGGCUAGAGUGCGUCAGAGGGAGGUGGAAUUCCACGUGUAGCAG
rnacentral:rRNA from 1 species